rnacentral:piRNA from 1 species
UGUUGUUUUCCACUGCCUUCACUCUC